UCCUGGCAGGUGGGUGGGGGUGGCCAGGCAGGGGCAGCGCCCGCCAAGGACGGCUCAGCUCUACUGCCCGCUGAGCUUAUGUCCAGCUGGCCCAGCUGAAGAGAGACCUGCCCAGGGCUUAAAGCAGCAGGAAGUGAGGGUCAGCUCCAGAGUGGUGAGGGGUCCCAGCAGGGUCCCUGAAGUUCCCAUGCCUUCUCCUGAAGGCAGAAGGUGAGCCCUCUCUCCAACCCUUCACAGGCCACCAGCUCUCCAAAGAGCACACCAGGAUUCCCCAGCUUACAAAAUUCCCUUUUUCUUGAGUGAAGCUUGUAAAGGAAGUGAGAGAAAGUCUUUCCAUUUGACUAGAAACUGAAGCUCCCAAAUGGAUAUGACUGAGACAAAGACACACCUCGAAUGGUCGCAGCAAGGAGCACACGGCAUCAAUGCAAUCCUGACGCAGGCGCAGAAGAACCCCAAACCUUCACGGACUACCCCCUCCUUAGCUGCGGGCGUGCCCUCUGCCCCCCAAACAAUGAUCUCUUUUUAACACUGACUCUCGAAGGGAUGGGGAUUGGAUACCCACGUGGGGAGAACCCCAAAGAGCUCCUUCCUAUUGGCUCCUGACUUUCCAGAUCUCAAGCCUGAAGCCACGUCUUCUGACUGCAGUUUCACAGCCAAUGGGCAAGGAGAUUGAAACCUCGCUCCCUCCUUCCCCACAUGGACAUAAGGGGGCGGGGCAGGACAUGGCAGCAGGGGACACAAGUGUUGAGACUGAGUCUGCUACUGCCACACGUGCCAGAGCCGAGGCAGCACCCAGGCCACUACCAUGGCUGCCUCCAGCACAUGGUGUGCUCUGGAUCCCCCAAUGGAUGACAAGGACAUAACUAUGCAGGCCUUAGUUACCUCAACUGUCUGGCUGAUCCCCCACUCUCCUUGACUGUUUUGUUCAAACUGAAAUGAGAUGCUUCAAGAGCCAAGCAGGCAGAAGGUGGAGGGCACCCAAGGGGUCUCCAGGGUCAGCUGAAGCUGGUUCAUGCCCAAUCCCAUUUUCAAAGCAAUACAAUGUUUAUAUAUGUAUGUAUAUAUACAUACACACACACACACACACACAUCUGAGUGUACAGAUACAUGUUCACACGUAUGUCAGCACACAUGUGUAAGUGAGUCUUCUUUUCAAUUGCUUUCUACUUUAUUUACUCAGGCAGGACUCUGAACCGAACCAGGAAUUUGCCGAUACAACCAGUCAAGCUACCCAGCUUGUCCAAGAAUCCUGCAUCUUUACCUUCAAGAGCCUUGGGAUUGAUUACAGGGGAGCCCCCAUACUCACCUACAUUUACACGGAUGCUGGGGACCUGAACUCUGGACUUUGCACUGGCAUGGCAAGUGCUCUAACUACUGAGCCAUCUUCUCAGCCCUGUUUUGGUUGGAGUGCUGAAACCCAGGAUCUGCCCCUGCACCUGCCUCUGGACUGCUGGGUUCCAGGGGCGUAAGCACCCAGAAACAUCAGUUUAUGAGCCUACUUUGGCCACAGCAAGUGGUCAUCUCCUUCCUUGCUCCAGACUCUGUGAAGCCAGGUAUGCCCAUGUGGUCAGAAUGCUUGUUGCGAGGUCUCUGGUAACCUAAAAGUGCUUUAUGUGACAUGAUGCAAUUAUCAACAGGACACUUGGAAGUUCACCUCAACUCUACCCCUCUCAGUAGCCCAUGUUGGCACUGAGUUUGCUUCUCUGCAAAGAGAAACAUCUUUCAUGAGGUCUUUUUUUAGUAUUUAAAAU